AGUGAACGCUGGCGGUAGGCCUAACACAUGCAAGUCGAACGGCAGCACGGUAAGAGCUUGCUCUUAUGGGUGGCGAGUGGCGGACGGGUGAGGAAUACAUCGGAAUCUACCUUUUGGKGGGGGAUAACGUAGGGAAACUUACUCUAAUACCGCAUACGCCCUUCRGGGGAAAGCCGGGGACCAGCAAUGGCCUGGCGCUGAUAGAUGAGCCGAUGUCGGAUUAGCUAGUUGGUGAGGUAAUGGCUCACCAAGGCGACGAUCCGUAGCUGGUCUGAGAGGAUGAUCAGCCACACUGGAACUGAGACACKGUCCAUACUCCUACKGGAGGCAUCAGUGGGGAAUAUUGGACAAUGGGCGCUGGCCUGAUCGAGCCAUACCGCGUGGGUGAAUAAGGCCUUCGGGUUGUAAAGCCCUUUUGUUGGKAAAGAAAACCAUUCGGUUAAUACCCGGGUGUUCUGAYGGUACCCMAAGAAUAAGCACCGGCUAACUUCKUGCCACCUGUCUUCGGUAAUACGAAGGGUGCAUGCGUUACUCGGAAUUACUGGGCGUAAAUCGUGCGCAGGUGGUG
rnacentral:rRNA from 1 species